rnacentral:rRNA from 1 species
GUCGGUAAAACUCGUGCCAGCCACCGCGGUUAUACGAGAGGCUCAAGUUGACAGACAACGGCGUAAAGAGUGGUUAAGGAAAAUAUUCAACUAAAGCGGAACCCCCUCAUUGCUGUCAUACGCUCCCGAGAGGAUGAACCCCAACUACGAAGGUGGCUUUAUAAAACCUGAACCCACGAAAGCUAAGAAACAAACUGGGAUUAGAUACCCCACUAUG